GACGAACCGAGCGAACGUUGUUCGGAAUCACUGGGCUUAAAGGGCGCGUAGGCGGGUACUCAAGUCUGUGGUGAAAUCCGGCAGCUUAACUGUCGAAUUGCCAUGGAUACUGGGUAUCUCGAGGGAGGCAGGGGUGCGCGGAACUAAUGGUGGAGCGGUGAAAUGCGUUGAUAUCAUUAGGAACUCCGGUGGCGAAGGCGGCGCACUGGUCCUUUUCUGACGCUGAGGCGCGAAAGCCAGGGGAGCAAACGGG
rnacentral:rRNA from 1 species